UGUUAUACUUGGUUGAAAAUUUGUUCAGGCUUGAGUAGUAACCAGUUAUGUGCUUGAAACUUAAAGGAUUUGGCGGUAUCUUAGUCUAGUUAGAGGAACCUGUUUUGUAAACGAUAAACCACGAAUUAUCUUACUUUCUUUGGUAGAAUCAGUUUGUAUAUCGCCAUUAUUAGGUAACCCUGAUAAGGAGUUAUUAAAAUAAAUUUUUAUUUAGUAUAUUAGGUCAAGGUGCAGCCAAUAGGAAAGGAAACAAUGGGUUACAGUGUUUUAAGAYAGACGGAAGRAGGGUCGAAGAUCCUUUGGAAGGUGGAUUUAAUAGUAAUUAUGUUUUAAUAAGGGAUAGUGAUAUUAGCUCUAAGGUAU
rnacentral:rRNA from 1 species